CGGUGGAAGACCGCCAUCUCAUAUUCGAGCAACAUAAGAAUUGGCCUGUGUGACAUAUCUCACCCAUCGAUAAGGGUUAUAGGUAUUAGACUUCUUUGCUAUCUGCAAGUAUUUCACCUGAAGCCUAGAAGCAUUGUACAUUGGUAUUGUGAAUGUCAUGCUNNNCCUGCCUCCUUCGUGAUAUUCCCAUGCAACUCCUGUGAAAAUGUCAGCUUUGCGCGUAAUGUAUGUUCAGAUCCACCAACAAUCUUCUUUAGUCCCCAUUCAAGUCUCUUAUUUGCUUCCUUAAAAUCUGUUGUUUGCCCAAUUGCUCCAGGUUCCAACUCAAAAGUAGCUCUGGUAGUAUAUUUUGGCAACGGCAUCUGUACAGCAAUUGUGUUUGCAGUAAUGCUUGAGGGGAACUCGGCCGAUAUUUUAAGAAUCACCUCAGCCUUCACGGCUCCUGCUUCCUCAAUCAAAGUAUUAAUGCGGAAAGGAGGUUUGAAUUCCUGGGUUAAACGAUAAUUCAUGACAGGAAAUUCACCAUCUGGGGGUACCAGAGUUAAUGUUCUAUCCAGAUCAAAACUAUCAAGACGUACAGAUUCAUGAAAAUUACAAUCAUCAAGUAUCACUGCUCCUGACCCAUAUGAACUCCUAUAAUCGUAGACUGAUCUUCCACUGCCUCUUCCUAUGCUCA
rnacentral:misc_RNA from 1 species